rnacentral:lncRNA from 1 species
AUACCAAAUACUGCUGGAAGGAUGAAAAAGAUGAAAAGAUGUCACAAAAAGUAGCUUUUCCGCUUGAUGAAAAAAACUAAAACAGCAAAGCAAGUUGAAGUUCAAAUACAACACUGCAGGGGUCCUUUGCUGAGGACUGAAUUUUAGACACAGAACGCUCUUGAUGAUUUCAACCCACUAGGAUCCAUUGAUUUGAGAAACCACAAUCCGUCCCAUUUCCACUUGUGAUGAAUACCCAAGGACACCAAUUCCCGGAUGGACAAACAGCAUUGAGAGGCCUUAGCCCUGCUCCUCUCAAUUCCAUCCUGUAGAGAACAGGAGUCAGGAGCUGCUGGCAGGAGACAGUAUGUCACCUGAGACUCUGCCGGUGCAGAAUAUGAACAAUGCCAUGUUCUUGCUGAAAACGCUUAGCCUGAGUUUCAUAGGAGGACCUCUAAUUUCUGCCAGUUACUUCAUUCAUUCUCUUCACCACAAGUCUCCAGAGGAUGCUUCCUUUGUCCACACCUCCCCAUCUCCCAGCAAUUCUGGGUUUCCGAGCUUGCCACCUCUGGUCCUCUGCACCGUGAAGCCCCUUCCUUUCAAUUCCCCAGUAGCCAGUAGGUUGGAAACCUGAGCAAACCAAACAUUGAGGGAGGUAGAAAGUACUUGAGACCUACAGCUGGCUUUGAGCCUUGGCUUAGUAACACCUGUACUUUCAAGCAUAAACUCUGUGCAUGAAAAUUUAUAUCCCGCCUAAUGUGAGUACUUU